CCGGCGCACGGGUGAGUAACGCGUAUUUAACCUUACUACGAGAGGGGGAUAACCCGGCAAAGUCGGACUAAUACCGCAUAAAGCAGGGAUCCCGCAUGGGAAUAUUUGCUAAAGAUUCAUCGCUGAUAGAUAGGCAUGCGUUCCAUUAGGCAGUUGGCGGGGUAACGGCCCACCAAACCGACGAUGGAUAGGGGUUCUGAGAGGAAGGUCCCCCACAUUGGUACUGAGACACGGACCAA
rnacentral:rRNA from 1 species